CUGCAACCUGAGAACACCCAGCAAGAGAAUCCUCAAGGAUGGAAAUCUGGAGGGAGAUAGCACGAGGAAAUGAGGAAAGCAGAAAGGGAAAAUGAAAGAAAGGCAAAGAACACUCCUCUGUGUGGAAGAAGGAGGAAGGGGAAGAAAGAGGAAGAAAACCUGGGAAAGGGCACAAGGCUGAAUAAUGCACUGGGGAAAAAAAAAACCACAGCAGCUGGAUUUGCUAGUAACAUAAAUUAGUACAGACAAGCCCCAUGUGACGAUGCACCAGCCUCCGUGCAAGGAUGGACACACUACUUUUUGGAGGUGCAAACAAUUGAACUGAGGUGUUCAACUACAGAGAAGAGAAGCCAUCAGCAUGCAAGUAGCCCUCUUCACCAGGUGCAGGCAGCCAAGAAAAUUCC
rnacentral:lncRNA from 1 species